CAGAUCUGGAUCUACCUCAUAAAUCACUACGGGCCUCCAAGUUUUGAAGAUCUGGUGGGCAAGCUGCAGGAGCAUUGGGAUGACCUGGAAGGCAGCGCUGUGGGAUUCUCUGAAGCAUGCAAGAUUGAUGCUCUUUGUGAAUGUUUUGAUGACAGCGUUUUCACAGAAAUCGUCACGGCAGUGAGGGUAGCAGCCACAAUGUUCGAACAUGCUGAAACUCUUCUCCGCUCAGAGCUCACAUAGUGUAAGUUCUUGGCUUGGCAGAGAACGGAUCAGGUUCUCAUGUCAAUGCUUUGUCAGCGAGAGUUGAAGCAAGGGUUGAAGAAGCUUCUGCAGAUGGCCAUGGUCGGGUGCGGCGAGGACGUGGACACAGAAUUCAAGAAGGACGCCCAAGAAGUAGUCAAGGAAGCUUACAAAGUGAUGGAACUGACAAUCUUGGAGCUCGUCGUGCUUCAACAUGCUAUGGCUGUGGAUUGGAAGGGCAUUUCAAGAAAGAUUGUUAAGUUCUGCAGUGGCUCAGCCGACUUGAGAUUGCAGCAAAUUUUGCAGGUUCAGCUCAAAUAGAACAGCAGGAGACAGUCACAGACGAUGUAACCAGAGCUGAAUCCUCUUGCACACUAACACUUAAUUCAGGAUGUGAAAAACACCUGAUGAAGGAUGAGCAAGCGUUCUCCAAGCUCAAGCGCUCACUAGCAGGUCGAGUUCGAGUUUGAAAUGGUGGAGUUGUUGAAGUCUCUGGAAAUGGUGAUGCAGUGGUGCAAGGUGGUUCGAAGAGUUUGCCUUUGAAUAAUGGGUGGUUUGUCCCACAACUUGUCAAGAACUUAGUUUCAAUAGUUAAGUUUACUUAUGCUGGGAUGAA